UACGGAGGGUGCAAACGUUGCUCGGAAUCAUUGGGCGUAAAGCGCACGUAGGCGGUCCUGCAAGUCGGGUGUGAAAGCCCUCGGCUCAACCGAGGAAGUGCAUCCGAAACUGCCGGACUUGAGUAGUGAAGAGGGUCUCGGAAUUCCCGGUGUAGAGGUGAAAUUCGUAGAUAUCGGGAGGAACACCAGCGGCGAAGGCGGAGACCUGGGCACAUACUGACGCUGAUGUGCGAAAGCGUGGGGAGCAAAC
rnacentral:rRNA from 1 species